AGCGAACGCUGGCGGCAGGCUUAACACAUGCAAGUCGAGCGGGCGUAGCAAUACGUCAGCGGCAGACGGGUGAGUAACGCGUGGGAACGUAACUUUUGGUUCGGAACAACACAGGGAAACUUGUGCUAAUACCGGAUAAGCCCUUACGGGGAAAGAUUUAUCGCCGAAAGAUCGGCCCGCGUCUGAUUAGCUAGUUGGUGAGGUAAUGGCUCACCAAGGCGACGAUCAGUAGCUGGUCUGAGAGGAUGAUCAGCCACAUUGGGACUGAGACACGGCCCAAACUCCUACGGGAGGCAGCAGUGGGGAAUAUUGGACAAUGGGCGCAAGCCUGAUCCAGCCAUGCCGCGUGAGUGAUGAAGGCCCUAGGGUUGUAAAGCUCUUUUGUGCGGGAAGAUAAUGACGGUACCGCAAGAAUAAGCCCCGGCUAACUUCGUGCCAGCCGCCGCGGUAAAAC
rnacentral:rRNA from 1 species